UCUUGAUUACAGAAAUCAUAUCAUCACUUUUUGAAGAAUAUUUAUCAUCACUUCUGUCAUCAACUUGAUGCACAAAAAAAUAAUAUCGAAUAUAUGUAAUAUUUGAUUUCUAAAUACUCAAGUAGUAUACAUUAUGCUCAAUGAUGCGGAUUGUCAAUUUGAAAGCUCUAUCAUUAAAAAUAAAUCAGUAGCAGCGGGAACCGUUUACUGCCGAUAUUAUUCUAACUCAACUCUAUAUAUAUCUGGCUUGUAAUAGUAUGAAGGCCUUUUUGCUGCCAAAUAAUUUUUGAUGAUGGGACGUCAUCGGCUUCAUUAUAUUUGCUCUAUGCUAUUUUUGGAAGCAUGUAGAAAUUAAAUUUUAUAUUUUUUUUAUAUCAGUUGAUAAGUGAUCAAAAUGUUUCAAAAUUAAUAAUUUUAAUGGCCAACUUGUUGACAGUGUAAAACAAUCUAAAUUAAGUAAAAUUUUGAUAGAAAAUUAUUUAUAUUAUUUAGAGCUAAAACAGUACCUCUGAUAUAAAAUUUAGGUAUUUUAUUAGUAUUUUUUAUAAAAAUUUUAGGGUAAACUUCAAAUACCCCCUUGUGGUUUCACACUUUCUUACUUUAGUACCCUGUGGUUUAAAGUGUAUCAACUUAGCCCCUGUGGUUCCGCACUUUCUCACUUUAGUACCCUGUAAUUUAAAGUGUAUCAAGUUAGUUAGUACCCUGUAGUUUUAUUUUUCUCUUUUUAUUAUCCAUUUCACUAAUUUUUUCGUUAAAUCAGUAACAAAGUUAAAAUCAAAGGGUACUAAAGUGAAUAUUCGAUAAAUCUAGGUAGGGUAUCUGAAGUUUUUUAUAUAUAAUUUAACGAAAUAUUAACGGAGGAAGAAAAGAUAUUAACAAAGUUAAAAGUAACGGGUACUAAAAUAAAUAUUCGAUAAACUUAGGUAGGGUAUCUGAAGUUUUUUAUAUAUAAUUUAACGAAAUAUUAACGGAGGAAGAAAAGAUAUUAACAAAGUUAAAAGUAACGGGUACUAAAAUAAAUAUUCGAUAAACCGGUAUCUAAGGUUUUUUAUAUAUAAUUUAACGAAAAAUUAACGAAGGAAGAAAAGUUAUUAACAAAGUUAAAAGUAAAGGGUACUAAAAUAAAUAUUCGUUAACCGGUAUCUGAGGUUUUUUGUAUAUAAUGUAACGAAAUAUUAACAGAGGAGCCGACGAAAAGAGAAAAAUGAAAUCACAGGGCACUAAAUUGAUGCAUUUUAAACCACAGGGUACUAAAGUGAGAAAGUGCAAAACUACAGAGUACUAAAUUGAUACACUUUAAACCACAUGGUACUGAAAUGAAACAGUGUGAAACCACAGGGUGGUAUUUGAAAUUUUUCUGAAAUUUUAUUCUCAGACGUUUAUUGUGAGACUAUUUAUUAUAUAGAUAAAUAUAUUAUGUGGAAAUGAU
rnacentral:lncRNA from 1 species